AAAAAAAAGUCUUAAAUGAUAAUCACCUUGCCCCUCCAAGAAAAAGAGACAAAGUACAAUGAUUGGAGAACGCUCGAGACAAGCAUGGAUUCACCGGGAGAAAAUGUGGCUGAAGAGCCAGAAAUAGUCCCUAUAGAAGUCCCUCCACGCCCACCCGGACACACCCCUGCCAUUCAUUCUGCAAUCGCGUACUAGAGCGUCAGUUCCGAGACCAGAGACAAACAAGGCACAGCUCCUGUAGUCGCGGCCUGAUGGGAAAGGCAGCCAAGAGCCACCGACAAAGGCGAGUCCACGUGGCGUGGGCCGUGCGCUGACAGGUUUGCACCUGCCACCGGCGCGGCCCCACCCUUCUUCCCAGUCCGAUCCCCUCGCCACCUCUCAGAUCUCAUAGGACCCCUGCACCUCCCCGCUCCCCCGCCCCAUUGCUCUCCCUUCCUCUCAGGACCCUGAACCCUUCUCACCCUUCCAGCUCUAGCAGCUCCUACUCCGCCUCCGGUCCUCCGCACCGGAAACGUGCCCCGGCCGCACGUGGUUGCCGGCACGCGCACGCGCGGAACCCUUCUGCUCAAAUCUGCUACCGGGGAGCCCAUUUUAUGGAACACCACUUGCCCGCGGUUCUUCCGAUUCUAUGACUCGCUUCCUGCUUUCUGGAGCGAAUUGGCUUCCCGCGAGGUGGCGCUCAUACUUUGCGUGAAGUCGACGCGCGCCUGACUCGGAGGUAGACACGCUUUCUUGCUUUAGUUUACUCAACUUUUCCGGUCUGUCAAACAACUUCUUUAUUGAGUACCUACUGUGUGCCGGGCACUGUUCUAGAGCCUGCGGGGGAUAGCAGUAACUCUCCUGGUACUGCUGGUGGCGUUGGGAAUGGAGGCAAACAAUAAAGAAAUGGAUAUGG